ACCAACACCCCCUCGCCAACGCCCUCUAGCGGCAUGGCCUCAUUCUCCCAGCCGAACAGAGCCACGAUGGCUGAGAUCUGCUCCGAGCUGAGAGGCUUCUCGAACAGCUGUGCAUACGCCUUCAGGGCUUCGUCCCCGAUGCGCUCACCCUCCCUGGCAAUCCCCAAGCGGUGCAUCAGGACCCUCUGCUGGCUCUUCACGCCGGAGGGCGAGGCCGUUCGC
rnacentral:lncRNA from 1 species